rnacentral:misc_RNA from 1 species
AAGUCGUAACAAGGUCUCCGUAGGUGAACCUGCGGAGGGAUCAUUACACAAUACGAAGGCGGGGCUGGACACCCCCAGCUGGGCACUGCUUCACGGCGUGCGCGGUUGGGCUGGCCCUGCUGAACUAUUCACCCGUGUCUUUUGCGUACCUCUUGUUUCCUGGGCGGGCUCGCCCGCCACCAGGACCAACCAUAAACCUUUUUGUAAUAGCAAUCCGCGUCAGUAACAAUCGUAAUAAAAUUACAACUUUCAACAACGGAUCUCUUGGUUCUG